rnacentral:rRNA from 1 species
UGCGUAGGGUGCGAGCGUUGUCCGGAAUCACUGGGCGUAAAGGGUGCGUAGGCGGGUCUUUAAGUCAGGGGUGAAAUCCUGGAGCUCAACUCCAGAACUGCCUUUGAUACUGAAGAUCUUGAGUUCGGGAGAGGUGAGUGGAACUGCGAGUGUAGAGGUGAAAUUCGUAGAUAUUCGCAAGAACACCAGUGGCGAAGGCGGCUCACUGGCCCGAUACUGACGCUGAGGCACGAAAGCGUGGGGAGCAAACAGG